GACUACUUGUAUGUAUAAGGUUUGCAGGGUCACACUCAAAGGCCCCAGAUAAGGCAAAGCACUUAAGAGUAGAAACUGGAGUACUGAUACAGCUGCUGUUGCAAGCAAAGAGGAAUGCUAUCAGAGCUACAGACUAAAACCGUCACAGGAUUUUGAGCUUCUUCUUCACUGAAAUCACUUCACUGAAAUACCUUGUCACAAAGACAGGAUGGCCACCCUUUUUUCUCACUCUGCCUCCAGGCCCUCCUUGUGGCCUGUAACUGGUCUCUGAAGCAAAUGCCUGAGCUGGAUGUGGAGAUUUAUAUGGAAGGUGGGAUCUCACUUUGAGGCUACAAUGCAACUUCCUUUUCUUCGGAGAUGUGGAAGAACCUUUGUGUUCAUUCUGCCCAACUUUCAUAUUGCCCACUUCACUGAUGAAGCAAAGAGAGGAGGGAACCUGCCAUGAGAAGUUUCUUAAUGUUUAUCUUCUCUUCAUUUGUAGUUGGCCUUGAAUGAUAGGAGGUGAAUACCUUCUCCUGGCUCAGAGAGGUCACUGCAGAAUGUCAUGAAUGUUCUUCAUUGGGAAAAGGGAAGACAUUUUCUCUAAAGCUGCCUAUAUUGUACCUACUUUGUACAAAAAGAGGGUUUUACUCUAUGAUGCUGCAUUACCACCCCUUCAAUAAAAUUUGAAAAUCUGCAAA